UUUUAUCUCAUGGGGUGCACUGCUAUUUUUGAUGCAGGGCUGAGAAGCAAAGGCUAACCCAAUGAACCUGAUCCAGAUUAUGCUGGCGUAGGGAUUGAGAUCCUCUAUUUAU
rnacentral:ncRNA from 2 species